rnacentral:lncRNA from 1 species
AACAGCACUGGCUCUGGAGCAGCAUGUCAACACCCUGUAUCUGUGUGGAGUCUGGAGUCUGAAUGAAGAACAGCACUGGCUCUGGAGCAGCAUGUCAACACCCUGUAUCUGUGUGGAGUCUGGAGUCUGAAUGAAGAACAGCACUGGCUCUGGAGCAGCAUGUCAACACCCUGUAUCUGUGUGGAGUCUGGAGUCUGAAUGAAGAACAGCACUGGCUCUGGAGCAGCAUGUCAACACCUUUUUUUUCACACAUGGAUUUUUGUUUAUUUCUUUGAUAAACAGAAAGAAAAAAAAAAGACCUUGCUUUUUAAUUGUAAGCUCAUUUAAAUUGUGUGGCUGCUAGCCAAAUAGUGUUGCACUUCGGUUGUCAAACAGCAUGUCGCAAUACUGAUAGAGAAAUAAGGUGACAGACAGCGGUAAAGGGGAAUCACUGUAAUACCUGGAGAGGAACCAGAAAUAGUAUUUUAACCAUUUAAACGCUGUUCCGCAGCAGCAGCAGCAGCAGCAGCAGCAGCAGCAGCAGCAGCAGCAGCAUUAUGGGGAAGUGAGUUGACGCUAAAAAAAAAAAGACAUUGAACAUGUCUUCCAUUUCAUUCACACCGGAAUUAAAAUGUCCGCCCUCCACAGUCAACGGUGACGAUGUCACGGCCGGGACGCCACGGGGGGUUUCCUACCUCAGUCGGCAACAAAGAGGAUCUGAACGGGAAUACGUGUAGGAUCGGUGUGUGUGUGUGUGUGUGUGUGUGUGUGUGUGUGUGUGUGUGUGUGUGUGUUCUUACGUUCCUCCCAUCCCUAUACUCUCUAAGGAUAAGCAUCGAUCUGUUCUCCCUCAGGGUAGCUAUCCUUAGUGAGGCAUUUUCACCUUCCCGUGGUGAGGAGGGUAAAGAGGGUUGGGGAAUUCCCCCUUUCAGCUGAAGCCCGGUGGGGACAGCAGCACACAGGAAGAGGACAGCUGGAGAGAGCAGCACACAGGAAGAGGACGGCUGGAGAGAGCAGGACACAGGAAGAGGACGACUGGAGAGAGCAGCACACAGGAAGAGGACGGCUGGAGAGAGCAGGACACAGGAAGAGGACGGCUGGAGAGAGCAGGACACAGGAAGAGGACAGCUGGAGAGAGCAGCACACAGGAAGAGGACGGCUGGAGAGAGCAGGACACAGGAAGAGGACAGCUGGAGAGAGCAGGACACAGGAAGAGGACGACUGGAGAGAGCAGGACACAGGAAGAGGACAGCUGGAGAGAGCAGGACACAGGAAGAGGACAACUGGAGAGAGCAGGACACAGGAAGAGGACAGCUGGAGAGAGCAGCACACAGGAAGAGGACAGCUGGAGAGAGCAGCACACAGGAAGAGGACGACUGGAGAGAGCAGCACACAGGAAGAGGACAGCUGGAGAGAGCAGCACACAGGAAGAGGACGACUGGAGAGAGCAGCACACAGGAAGAGGACGGCUGGAGAGAGCAGGACACAGGAAGAGGACAGCUGGAGAGAGCAGGACACAGGAAGAGGACAACUGGAGAGAGCAGCACACAGGAAGAGGACAGCUGGAGAGAGCAGCACACAGGAAGAGGACAACUGGAGAGAGCAGGACACAGGAAGAGGACGACUGGAGAGAGCAGCACACAGGAAGAGGACAACUGGAGAGAGCAGGACACAGGAAGAGGACAACUGGAGAGAGCAGCACACCCACACCCAGUCACACCCAGUCACACACACACACACACACACCGUCACACACACACCAGGAAGUUUUCAAUAGAAAACAAUAAAAGGCCACAGACAAGGAAUGGGACAACAAAUAGUAGAACACAACAGGGCCAACAGACACACACACCACACCCACCACA